AAUUCACUCCAUCCAUCGUCUUGUUCAACAUGUCUUGAUUUUCUUUGAANGUACGCAGACGAUGACCAUUUACCUUGAAGAUUAUGUCAGAAGAUUCUUCCUUGAUCUCCACUGCUCCAUAGGGAAAUCCUUGUGUUACAAUGAAUGGACCUUCCCAUUUGGAGCGUAACUUACCACUCAUAGGCCUUACCCUGAACUUGUACAGUAACACCUUUUGACCUAUGUUGAAGUCC
rnacentral:lncRNA from 1 species